GUGUUAUAUUAUAUAGUGUGUGUGUGCUAUAUGAAACACAUAUAUUGUGCAUAUCUUACCCCAUACCCUCCCAGUAUCCAUUUCUUACCCCAUACCCUCCCAGUAUCCAUGUCUUACCCCAUACCCUCCCGGUAGCCAUAUCUUACCCCAUACCCUCCCGGUAGCCAUAUCUUACCCUCAUAUCGUCCCAGUAGCCAUAUCUUACCCCAUAUCAUCCCAGUAGCCAUAUCUUACCCCAUAUCGUCC